rnacentral:rRNA from 1 species
GACGAACGCUGGCGGCGUGCUUAACACAUGCAAGUCGAACGAAAAUACCAAGCUUGCUUGGUUGAUUAGUGGCGAACGGGUGAGUAACACGUGAGUAACCUGCCCCCUUCUUCGGGAUAACGGUCUGAAAGGGCUGCUAAUACCGGGUAUUCACUGGUCUCCGCAUGGGGUCUGGUGGAAAGGGUUUUUUUCUGGUGGGGGAUGGGCUCGCGGCCUAUCAGCUUGUUGGUGGGGUGAUGGCCCACCAAGGCUUUGACGGGUAGCCGGCCUGAGAGGGUGACCGGUCACAUUGGGACUGAGAUACGGCCCAGACUCCUACGGGAGGCAGCAGUGGGGAAUAUUGCACAAUGGGCGCAAGCCUGAUGCAGCGACGCCGCGUGAGGGAUGGAGGCCUUCGGGUUGUGAACCUCUUUCGCCCGUGGUCAAGCCGCGACGUGGGUCGUGGUGAGGGUAGUGGGUAAAGAAGCGCCGGCUAACUACGUGCCAGCAGCCGCGGUAAUACGUAGGGCGCGAGCGUUGUCCGGAAUUAUUGGGCGUAAAGGGCUUGUAGGCGGCUGGUCGCGUCUGCCGUGAAAUCCUCUGGCUCAACUGGGGGCGUGCGGUGGGUCCGGGCUGGCUUGAGUGCGGCGGGGGAGGCUGGAAUCCUGGUGUACCGGUGGAAUGCAAAAAUAUCAGAAAACACCUGUGCCUAAUGUGUGUUUUUGGGCCGUUUCUGACUCGGGGUAGGAAAUCUUGGGGACGAACGGAAUAG